UUUCGUACAGUUUAGGUUUGACAUGCGAUCGCGCGUCGACAUCGGACGCUAUGGCACACUCGUGCCUUAUGUGCCACCGAAGCCCCGAAGUGGUCUGGCAUAUACCUUCACAUACAAUGCCUACGCCUAGCCACAGCAGCUCCCUCAUACAGACUCCGCAAGCCAAGAGGCCGUGGAGACAAAUGCAGGCAGCCUGCACAUCUCGAACAGCCACCUUGACUGCGGGUGUGUCACCCUAGUCGCCAAGAAAACAUUUGAGGGAAAGUGACAGGUAAUGUGAACAGCCACUUCUCCAUGUAAACAAUACUCUUUCUCUCGGAUGACUCCUACGCCUCACCACGCCAGCACACUUGUGCACAAAGAUGCCGCAGAGGCACGUGCAGGUCAGAGGCAAGAAGCAGUGGCACUGGUGUCGACAUUUACCCAAUUUCUUUUUCUUGCACUGAGGCAGCCAGCACACCUCGAACAGCCACCUUGACUGCGGGUGUGUUAGUAGAUUCCUGUUGUACAUAUGCUCAUAAUAAACUUCAGUAAACUUGAACUUCAUAAUAAACUUGAAGGCAAAUGGGACAUUGAUGCAUUGUAUUGUUGAAUAUUUAUUGUACACAUACAAUAUAUGUUAUACGUUGCAGUGCUACAGAGCGUAUUUUGAAACUUCCCCCUAUAUUUUGCACCUUUAAUUACGUAUGUGUUGUGUGGCCCUCAAUGCAGUUCAUAUUGUAGCAGCUGCUUUGUCUGUGUAUCGCACAUUGGCGUAAGCUAGUGAUAUCCAUAUACUUCUCUCACAUAUACAAAAUAAAGUUCUAUGUAGUCCUCAGUGUUACAACAAAAAAUGAAAGUAAACAAUCCGAUCGUGGAAUUGUGUUUAUUACAGUGAUUCCUACGAUAGUUACUGACAAGUUGAGAACUUGAACUGGUCAAUCGGUCUAUAGCCUCCUUUAUUUUUCAAAAAUAAAGGAUGCUAUGAUCCGUCAUGGCAAGGAAUUGUAUGUAUACAUAAAAUAAAGGGGGUAUGUGUGUGUUUGUAGUGGGGGUAUAGGAUUAGGGCGGUACGAAGAAAUGUACCAACACCGUCCUCUAGGCCCAUUCUGUUAAGGUACCGUAACAAAGCGUAUUAUGCAUAAAGUUCAUACAACCAACUCUGAUAUUACUACAGACGCCAGGCGACGCGAGCUACAUUUGUCAUGAUGCAUUUGCGACUGCACCGGAUGCCCUCCACAUUAUUCUCGUGAAUCGUGCUCACUGCGCCGAGGGAAAAGAAAUAUCAUGGGCGCAGGUGCCUUUAAAGUAUCUCGACCUUGCGAGGCACGGCUGCGCAUGCCAGGGGAGCUGUCCGUGCGAACACUCCCUGGCACACGCCUGCCUCGGCGGCCCCAACCUACGUAUCGUUCUGCUUCGAGCUUUGAUCCCCCCACUGUCCCUCGGGUGCCCUAGAGUUCCUGCGCCGCCUGCUCUACUAUCAUCUCAGGUGCUCUCCUGAGACUUCCGUUUGUCGGUUACAUGUGCCCUACAGCUGGAUCAUUACUUAUACUAAUAAAAAACCCGAUCUAUCGUGACGACGAUAGAUCGCGAAAGCGGCUUUUGCAACAUACCGCACCCGUGCGAAGAGAAUUACGGAACGCCAACGAGGAAUCUGACCACAGCUUCGAGCUCGUAACGUCGUCGAGUGACACUCCUGCAACAGGCGUGACCGCUGAAAACCGCAUACCGCCGGAAACUUGAACAGGAUCAUCCCUCGGAUGCAUAACUGCCAGCUGUACGGCCAACAUGGACCACACCCACACCAUCCCGCAACAUAGAAUAAAGAACCGACUUAUAAAGCCCAAAACACGGCUGCACGCUCACAUCACAACACUACAAGCGAGACGCCAUGCUG